rnacentral:rRNA from 1 species
UACGGGGGGGGCAAGCGUUGUUCGGAAUUACUGGGCGUAAAGGGCUCGUAGGCGGCCAACUAAGUCAGACGUGAAAUCCCUCGGCUUAACCGGGGAACUGCGUCUGAUACUGGAUGGCUUGAGUUUGGGAGAGGGAUGCGGAAUUCCAGGUGUAGCGGUGAAAUGCGUAGAUAUCUGGAGGAACACCGGUGGCGAAGGCGGCCCACUGGCUCGACACUGACGCUGAGGUGCGAAAGCGUGGGGAGCAAACAGG